rnacentral:rRNA from 1 species
UAGACGUGGGGGAACCUGACCGCAAUGCCGCGUGAGUGAAGAAGGCCUUCGGGUUGUAAAGCUCUUUUGUCAGGGAAGAAACACCGGCUCUAACACAGUCCGGGAAUGACGGUACCUGAAGAAUAAGCACCGGCUAACUACGUGCCAGCAGCCGCGGUAAUACGUAGGGUGCGAGCGUUAAUCGGAAUUACUGGGCGUAAAGCGUGCGCAGGCGGUUAUACAAGACAGGCGUGAAAUCCCCGGGCUUAACCUGGGAAUGGCGCCUGUGACUGUAUAGCUAGAGUGUGUCAGAGGGGGGUAGAAUUCCACGUGUAGCAGUGAAAUGCGUAGAUAUGUGGAGGAAUACCAAUGGCGAAGGCAGCCCCCUGGGAUAACACUGACGCUCAUGCACGAAA